rnacentral:rRNA from 1 species
GACGAAGGGGGCUAGCGUUGUCCGGAAUCAUUGGGCGUAAAGCGCGUGUAGGCGGUCCGGUAAGUCCGCUGUGAAAGUCGGGGGCUCAACCCUCGGAUGCCGGUGGAUACUGUCGGGCUUGAGUACGGAAGAGGCGAGUGGAAUUCCUGGUGUAGCGGUGAAAUGCGCAGAUAUCAGGAGGAACACCAAUUGCGAAGGCAGCUCGCUGGGACGUUACUGACGCUGAGACGCGAAAGCGUGGGGAGCAAACAGG